rnacentral:rRNA from 1 species
AUUGAACGCUGGCGGCAGGCUUAACACAUGCAAGUCGAGCGCGCGGCGGACGGGUUAGUAAUGUCUGGGAAACUGCCUGAUGGAGGGGGAUAACUACUGGAACCGGUGGCUAAUACCGCAUACCAUCAUCUUUGCCCAGAUGGGAUUAGCUAGUAGGUGGGGUAAUGGCGCACCUGGUCGCCGAUCCCUAGCUGGUCUGAGAGGAUGCCCAGCCACACUGGAACUGAGACACGGUCCAGACUCCUACGGGAGGCAGCAGUGGGGAAUAUUGCACAAUGGGCGCAAGCCUGAUGCAGCCAUGCCGCGUGUGUGAAGAAGGCCUUCGGGUUGUAAAGCACUUUCAGCGAGGAGGCGUUACUCGCAGAAGAAGCACCGGCUAACUCCGUGCCAGCCGCCGCGGUAAUUC